AUGAUGCAUAGUGUUAAACAGUAUUUAGACAGACUGCACACCUGUACAAAACUCCUCCAGAUUUUCCAGAGAGUAUGGAGGCUUUAUUCACAAGAGUUUCUUCUUACAGCUUGUGGAGUCCUGAGAAUCAUGAGUAUACCAAAAGAAAUACAGAACAACUGUGUGCAGAUUAAGAAGAUGACAAAGGAAUAAUGGCAUGGAAAGAAUAAGGGUCUAUGAGCUUAGGCAUUUUCUAGUAUUGUAGAGACAGCAAUCGGUUGUCUCCUAAUCCUUCGGGUUGGUUACAGUUAUUUCUCCAUCACUGUAGUUCACAGCUCCUUUUCUCACCAAAGGAUUUUGUCACUGGAAGGCUGUUGUACCCCUUUCUGGCAAUUCAGGUGUGAGACAGCAAUCUGCUAAAUAUCAGUUUUAUUGUCUUCCAAGUGAGCCAUCUAAAGGACACUCCGGACUCACAUAAGUGCCGCCAGAGCUGUUCUCCAGCUCCCCAACCCAGACAAGCCUGGACACCAUCAGCCAUCGUUCCAGACAUUAUGUAGUUCGGGUUUUUCUGUGAUGGAAACACUUCUCGUGUCUGCAUCUCCUCCUUCCAAUGCUCUGAGGAACUGAGGCCAGCCAAAAACAAGAAGCAACCACUUGCAGCUCAGCUGAGCCAUUUGGACAUUCUGAAAACUCAGUAGGUGUGGAGCAAUAACUUACUGCUCUGCCCCACCUCAAGUAUAUCCCAUCUCCUGUAGAAUUUUUUUGUCUUUGGCCAAAUUUUAGCAGCUCAGCUGUGGGACCCCAGCAGGUUGGCUUGCAUCCUCUGGACCAGAAGGUUUCUUCUAACUUCAUUUAAGCCAGUAAUUUUUUCACAUGGGAGUCAUGAAAUUCAUUGCUUUGUGAUGUGCUUCUGACCCCAGGAAGCCCCUGAGCUAUGGGAGUAUGAAGACAGCUGUUAGUCUAGCAGAAACUGCCAGGUUUGCUAAGACCUUGUGAUGGACCCAGAACAUCAGCAGAAGCAGAGAGCCCUGGGGGAAAAACAGACCUUAGUGCAAGUCAGACUGAAAGGAGAGCAAAUGGAAGCAGAAGAAGAAGAGUUAAAGAGUGGAGAAACAGCUAAAAAGUCUCACUCAGAGCCAAAGAGAUCAGCUGGAGAGCUGCUUGUUUGUGCAGGUUGAUAGCUGAGCUGGAUUAGGGCUUCACUGAAGCAAGUAGGAGGCAGGAGAUUACAGAAAGAUUUGGUCAAGCUGGGAAUGAAAGGGGUUGAAUGCAGAGCUGUGUCAAGUGAGAGUGUAGUACAGAGAAUAAACUUCAGAAACUAAGACA
rnacentral:lncRNA from 1 species